rnacentral:rRNA from 1 species
UACGUAGGGUGCGAGCGUUGUCCGGAAUUACUGGGCGUAAAGAGCUCGUAGGCGGCUUGUCGCGUCGACUGUGAAAACCCGUGGCUCAACCAUGUGGUCUGCAGUCGAUACGGGCAGGCUAGAAUUCGGUAGGGGAGACUGGAAUUCCUGGUGUAGCGGUGAAAUGCGCAGAUAUCAGGAGGAACACCGGUGGCGAAGGCGGGUCUCUGGGCCGAUAUUGACGCUGAGGAGCGAAAGCGUGGGGAGCGAACAGG